GCAGCUCACACAUGUUCUAGGUCACUGGUGAGAAUUUGUGCUUCAGAUGGCUGGGGCGCUGGACAGUUCUCGUUUUCUGCCUCUGUUAUUGUUGGCUGUGCUGUUGCUGGCUGCUCCAAGCAAUGCAUUCUACUUGCCUGGCAGCUACAUGCACACAUACUCCGAAGGUGAGGACAUAUGGGCAAAGGUCAAUUCACUCACGUCCAUUGAGACCGAGAUGCCGUUCAGCUACUACAGUCUGCCAUAUUGCCGCCCCCCUGGUGGCAUCAAGAAGAGCGCCGAGAACCUCGGUGAGCUUCUCAUGGGUGACCAGAUCGACAACUCGCCCUACCGGUUCAGUGUGAAUGUUAACGAGUCCCUCUUCCUCUGCACCACCAAAGGGCUUAAUGAGAAUGAUGCAAAGCUUCUCAAGCAGCGGGCCCGUGAUCUUUACCAGGUUAACAUGAUGCUGGACAAUCUGCCGGUUAUGCGUUUCGCUGAGCAGAAUGGUAUCACAGUGCAGUGGACUGGCUUUCCUGUUGGUUACACUCCUGCUGGUAGUGCUGAUGAUUAUAUCAUCAACCACUUAAAGUUUAAGGUCCUGGUCCAUGAGUACGAAGGUACAAAUGUAGAAAUCAUCGGUACCGGAGAAGAAGGAUCUGCUGUCAUCUCAGAGACGGACAAGAAGGGGAUGUCUGGGUAUCAGAUUGUUGGUUUUGAGGUUGUGCCUUGCAGUGUGAAGCGUGAUACCGAGGCUUUCUCCAAGCUUAACAUGCAUGACAAGAUUGAACCUGUGAGCUGCCCAGUGGAGCUUCGCAAGUCUCAAGCGAUCAGGCAACAGGAGAGGAUCACGUUUACCUAUGAUGUUGAGUUUGUGAAGAGUGACAUCAGGUGGCCAUCUAGGUGGGAUGCUUAUCUGAAGAUGGAGGCUGGCGCCAAUGUUCACUGGUUCUCCAUAAUGAACUCCCUCAUGGUCAUCUUGUUCUUGGCAGGAAUUGUCUUUAUUAUAUUCCUGAGAACUGUCAGGAGGGAUCUCACCACAUAUGAGGAGCUCGACAAGGAAGCUCAAGCACAGAUGAAUGAGGAGCUCUCUGGGUGGAAGCUUGUUGUUGGAGAUGUAUUCAGAGAGCCAUCUUGCCCCAAGCUGUUAUGCAUCAUGAUCGGCGAUGGUGUUCAAAUUCUGGGCAUGGCAAUCGUAACAAUAGUUUUUUCCACACUUGGGUUCAUGUCUCCAGCUUCUAGAGGAAUGCUUCUUACUGGGAUGAUCAUUCUCUAUCUUUUCCUCGGCAUUGCAGCUGGGUAUGUCAGUGUUCGGCUAUGGAGGACUAUUAAGGGAACAUCUGAAGGAUGGAGAUCAUUGUCCUGGUUGACUGCCUGCUUUUUCCCUGGUAUCAUGUUUACGGUCCUUACCGUGUUAAACUUCGUCUUGUGGGGAAGCAAGAGCACUGGAGCCUUACCCAUUUCAUUAUUUUUCACCCUUCUGGCUCUGUGGUUCUGUAUCUCUGUGCCGUUAACGCUUGUCGGUGGUUUCCUUGGUACAAGAGCAGAACAAAUCGAAUUUCCAGUUCGCACCAACCAGAUUCCCAGAGAGAUCCCUGCACGGAAAUAUCCAUCAUGGCUUCUGGUCCUUGGAGCAGGCACGCUGCCAUUUGGAACACUGUUUAUUGAGCUGUUCUUCAUUCUCUCGAGCAUCUGGCUUGGAAGGUUCUACUAUGUGUUUGGCUUCUUGCUGAUUGUCCUGCUGAUGCUUGUCGUUGUUUGCGCCGAGGUAUCUGUUGUUCUUACCUACAUGAAUCUCUGUGUCGAGGACUGGAGGUGGUGGUGGAAGGCUUUCUUUGCUUCGGGCUCUGUUGCUCUCUACGUGUUCCUCUACUCCAUCAACUACUUGGUCUUUGAUCUCAGAAGCCUUAGCGGGCCUGUCUCUGCAAUGCUUUACAUCGGCUACUCGUUCCUCAUGGCAUUUGCGAUCAUGCUUGCCACCGGAACCAUUGGCUUUUUGACGUCAAUCUCCUUUGUGCACUAUCUCUUUGCGUCAGUGAAGAUCGACUGAUGGAUGCUCGCUAUAUUCAACGGCCUUUUGUAUUUGUAUUGCUAGAGUGUGGGUGCGAGCUUCAAGCUGAGACGUGCUGUUUACUGAGGUAUUCACCUUUUUCUUAACCAAAGGCAGAGCUCCUGCCAUACUCGCAUAUUGGUUGAAGAAAAGAUGACUGGGAACAUUCAUUUGCUUACUUAUCUACUGUACAAUGAAAUGGUCUCAUGCUUAAUUCUUCAGUGAACACAACUAUUAUUCUUGCCAUAUCGAUAUGAGGAGUCCAUUUUUUUCUUUUGGCAUGGUAGUUAGGUAGUAUCGUAAACACUACCAUUUCUGCCACACCGUGUACCGGUAUCGCAAUAACAUUAACAAAGCACCAAUUGUCUGGUGGCAGUUGAAUUCGAAUUGCAAAUGUCAAUAAACACAGCUCUGCAGAUGCUGUUCUUUUAUUAUAAACUCUGCUCUGGCAAAUGAUGAUCA